CUCUUCUCCUUCUUUUCUUCUUCUUCCUCCUUCUCUUCUCCCUCUUCUUCUGUUCCUGAUUUAAAAUUGCAACGUGAGUACAUUGAAACCACUGAAGUCCACCUUCCCGGAUUUGGUUCUACAUCAACUUGGUAUCAGAGUAAGGCUGGUUUUGCCCCUGCUGCCAAAGCCCCGAUCCAUCUCCCGGCUACUUCUUCCAAACC
rnacentral:lncRNA from 1 species